rnacentral:rRNA from 1 species
UACGUAGGGGGCUAGCGUUAUCCGGAAUUACUGGGCGUAAAGGGUGCGUAGGUGGUUUCUUAAGUCAGAGGUGAAAGGCUUACGGCUCAACCGUAGUAAGCCUUUGAAACUGGGAAACUUGAGUGCAGGAGAGGAGAGCGGAAUUCUUGGUGUAGCGGUGAAAUGCGUAGAUAUCAAGAGGAACACCGGUGGCGAAGGCGGCUCUCUGGACAGAUACUGACGCUGAGGCUCUAAAGUUAGGGGAGCAAACAGGAUUAGAUACCCUGGUAGUCCCUGAG